rnacentral:rRNA from 1 species
UUCUGGUGAUUUAAUACCGUGUGACCCACCUCUUCCCAUUCCGAACAGAGCAGUGAAAGCACGAUAUUCCGAUGAUACUUGGGUGUAGUCCCUGGAAAAGUAGGAUUCGCCGGAAA